CAAGAUUUGGAGUCAAAGGGCAGGCUGGAAAAUGCAACAAGGAUACAUCUACCACAGAGAGAAGUCACAGAAGCUUGAAGAUUGGAAAAAUUACAAUGUUCGUUUAACUGGAGAGUGGGGAAAUUCUAGGAGAUAUAGCCCAAAAAUGUC
rnacentral:lncRNA from 11 species